GUCUUUUCCGCGUGCUCCCCCUGCUUUUAGUCCUUACCGAGUUGCCGCUGCACUCUCGUUUUCACAUUUGCCUCGGCCCUCUUUGUGCCUCUCAUCUGUGCGUUACCUUCUUCUGUGAGGCCCUCGCAACUGGAGUUGAGCUCGGCAGUGGCCGCUCUCCUGCUUUAGUUGUUCGCUUUCCCCUGCCCACGUGAGUGCUUCGAUUGCGCUGUGUGCGCCCGCUCUUACCUUCGGGGAGGGGGAGGGGUUCUGGUGUUUAUUUUCUCGGCAUCGUCGCCCUCACAGGCCUUGGUAGUAUCACCAUUUGCGCAUCGGAAAAGUCAAUCGAGGGAGGCUGCGGACAUUCUUCGGUCCCUCCCUGGUAUCCUUCACCCUCUUUCACAUCUCUGUGCCGUUUCUGUUAUGGUCCGCGCCACACUUUCUUCGGGCCUGUUUCACCAAGCGCAACUCGCUGGCUUCACAUUACCAUUGGUGUCGGAGGAGUCGCGCUGUUACUCUCUCCCUCUUUUGCUAUUCUUGUUCGGCGCACAGUCCAGGUCACCGACACGCCCUUAAGGCGGGUACGAGUAGAACGCUGAUAUUCCGCACUAUGGGUGCGUGGCUGACAAGUCUGAAGCAGACACUUGGUCUGCUGCCAGCAGACCGCAAAAUUCGUGUCUUGAUGCUUGGCCUGGACAAUGCGGGAAAGACUUCAAUUCUCUAUCGGCUACAUCUUGGUGAUGUGGUUACCACCGUCCCCACUGUGGGAGUCAACUUAGAAACUCUUCAGUACAAGAAUAUCUCCUUCGAAGUGUGGGACCUUGGCGGCCAAACGGGUGUGCGACCGUACUGGCGUUGCUACUUCAGCGACACAGACGCCGUCAUCUACGUGGUGGACAGCACUGACAGGGAUCGCAUGGGCGUCGCCAAGCACGAACUGUACGCUCUCCUAGACGAGGACGAACUCAGAAAGAGUCUCUUGCUCAUAUUCGCCAACAAACAAGAUUUGCCGGACGCCGCCAGUGAGGUAGAGAUCGCCGAACAACUUGGUGUGUCGUCCAUUAUGAACCGUACGUGGACGAUUGUUAAAAGCAGUUCAAAAACAGGUGAUGGCCUGGUGGAGGGCAUGGACUGGCUCGUGGAGCGGCUUCGCGAGCAAGGGAUCGGUGCUUAGUGACCGCCUUGCCAACCCUCUCCCAGCUUCUCCGACUUCUCUAACUCCUGGCGACUUGCUCGUGUUACGGAUGGCUAGAGAACGUGCAAGGGGGAGAGAUGUAGGAAUGCGACCAUUAACGAUAUUUGAUGCUUGGCCUGUCUGUCUAUUUGUUAUGCCGGCGCUCGCCAUUGGAAGGGGGUGGGGUUGAUGAUGUGGGAGGCGUUCACAUCACACAUGCGGGAAAUGGGGGUUUGAUUCUCGCCGCGUGAGCUUCCUUCUCACUGCAUCGUAUAGCCACACUUCAAUCCCGGUUCUCUUGGUUGCGUGUACGUGGAGGCGUGUAUGUUUGCGACGAUGUUUUCCUCUCAUUUCAUGGUUGCGUGGUGAGUCUCAUUCGGCGUCUUCUUUCCAGCUGUAUAUCUGUGCGGCCCCGCGGAUGUGCAUGCCCGGCUGAGGUGUGCGUGUUUGUGCGUGCCGCUUUCUGUCUUUCUCCCUCAUUGACCGUGUGCCAUUAGCUCCUUGAUCGCACGCCGUCUACGCGCGCGCUGUUUCUCGGGCGCCUACGCUUCCCUCCAGCCCUACCGAACACGCUGAAUGGAGACAACGAUAGGCGCGACAGACGUGUCAAAGACGAUUUAGGCAGUGAAUGCACUCCGCUCUCUUUGUGUCCAUCAAGGCCGCCGAAA
rnacentral:misc_RNA from 1 species